UACGUAGGGUCCGAGCGUUGUCCGGAAUUAUUGGGCGUAAAGGGCUCGUAGGCGGUCUGUUGCGUCGGGCGCGAAAACUUACAGCUUAACUGUGAGCGUGCUUCCGAUACGGGCAGACUUGAGGUAUUCAGGGGAGAACGGAAUUCCUGGUGUAGCGGUGAAAUGCGCAGAUAUCAGGAGGAACACCGGUGGCGAAGGCGGUUCUCUGGGAAUAUCCUGACGCUGAGGAGCGAAAGUGUGGGGAGCGAACAGG
rnacentral:rRNA from 1 species